rnacentral:rRNA from 1 species
CGGCGAGUGAAGCAGCAAUAGCUCAGAUUUGAAAUCUGGCGUCUUCGACGUCCGAGUUGUAAUUUGUAGAGGAUGCUUCUGAGUGGCCACCGACCUAAGUUCCUUGGAACAGGACGUCAUAGAGGGUGAGAAUCCCGUAUGCGGUCGGAAAGGCGCUCUAUACGUAGCUCCUUCGACGAGUCGAGUUGUUUGGGAAUGCAGCUCUAAAUGGGAGGUAAAUUUCUUCUAAAGCUAAAUAUUGGCCAGAGACCGAUAGCGCACAAGUAGAGUGAUCGAAAGAUGAAAAGCACUUUGGAAAGAGAGUUAAAAAGCACGUGAAAUUGUUAAAAGGGAAGGGAUUGCAACCAGACUUGCUCGCGGUGUUCCGCCGGUCUUCUGACCGGUCUACUCGCCGCGUUGCAGGCCAGCAUCGUCUGGUGCCGCUGGAUAAGACUUGAGGAAUGUAGCUCCCUCGGGAGUGUUAUAGCCUCUUGUGAUGCAGCGAGCGCCGGGCGAGGUCCGCGCUUCGGCUAGGAUGCUGGCGUAAUGGUCGUAAUCCGCCCGUCUUGAAACACGGACCAAGGAGUCUAACAUCUAUGCGAGUGUUCGGGUGUCAAACCCCUACGCGUAAUGAAAGUGAACGGAGGUGAGAACCGCAAGGUGCAUCAUCGACCGAUCCUGAUGUCUUCGGAUGGAUUUGAGUAAGAGCAUAGCUGUUGGGACCCGAAAGAUGGUGAACUAUGCCUGAAUAGGGUGAAGCCAGAGGAAACUCUGGUGGAGGCUCGCAGCGGUUCUGACGUGCAAAUCGAUCGUCAAAUUUGGGUAUAGGGGCGAAAGACUAAUCGAACCAUCUAGUAGCUGGUUCCUGCCGAAGU